AUGUGGCCACCACAUUCGGAUAUCCAGUCCUGGAGUUUAGAGUGUGACAGGAGGCAGGGACUUCCAAACACGUGUCGUUUUGCUCAAUGCCAUUUUUUGAAUAAGUCGUCUUUCCCUGGUGACUUAAGCACCACGUGGAUAAAGAAGUACUCAGCCCCCACCAGCAGGACGACGAGGGAAGGUGUUGAGGGAUCUGCAGGAGUCCUCAGAAGGCUGGCCUCCGUGUUUCCCAAAUCCUCCACCCACCGCGCCAUGGGCCUCUCAGAGAGAGAUGCCAAAACCGAGCAAGUCUAGGGAGAAGCCCCUCAAAACACUUCCAGGCUCGGCGCUGGGGGAAACUCUUGAAGCUGCGUCCAGUGGGCGAGGAGAGUGUUCCUCGGUGCCCUCCGAGCCAGGGCUGGCUCUGCCCCUGUAGCCCCACGAGCUCCACAACGCCCCCUGUGGCGGGUAUGCACCAUCUUCUCGGAAUUUACUUCGCGACUGAAGGCAAGCGUAUUUUUUUAAUAUUUAUGUGUUAUUUCAUAUAGCUUUGUUAAUUUUUUUCAUGUAUCAUUCAUAUUUGAUUCAGCCCCCUUCCCUCACCCUAAAUUUUUAAAUUUCUUUAUAUCCUCUGGGGGGUGGUGUGUAUGUCAUGAAAAAUCUUUAUAUUUGUAUGUAAACAAAUCAGUCCAUCUUUGCUUGCAUUUGGAUUUUGAAUUAUACAUAGGAAGCCUGUUUCCACACCCACGUUAUGAAGAUACUCACAUAUCGUUUCUCUGGGUAUUUGUAUAGUUUCAGUUGUUUAAUACUUAGCUUAUUCUCAGGUAUGAUGUAUAGAUGCCUGGGUACGGAUCCAGUUUUGACUUUUUCUACGUAGUCACUUAUUCGUUCACAAACCAAUUAUUUUUUAAAGGUUCAUCUUUGCUCCAGUGAUUAGAGAUUCCUCCUUUAUCAUACACUAAAUUUCCAUAUGUUCUUGGGUAUAUUUCUGGUCUUUUUAUUCUACUUCGUUUGAUUGUCCAUUCACAGAACAGUAACACAUUGUUUAAAUUUUUUUUUCUUAGAAGUUAU
rnacentral:lncRNA from 1 species